rnacentral:rRNA from 2 species
GCCUAUACAUGCAGUCGAACGAACUCUGGUAUUGAUUGGUGCUUGCAUCAUGAUUUACAUUUGAGUGAGUGGCGAACUGGUGAGUAACACGUGGGAAACCUGCCCAGAAGCGGGGGAUAACACCUGGAAACAGAUGCUAAUACCGCAUAACAACUUGGACCGCAUGGUCCGAGUUUGAAAGAUGGCUUCGGCUAUCACUUUUGGAUGGUCCCGCGGCGUAUUAGCUAGAUGGUGGGGUAACGGCUCACCAUGGCAAUGAUACGUAGCCGACCUGAGAGGGUAAUCGGCCACAUUGGGACUGAGACACGGCCCAAACUCCUACGGGAGGCAGCAGUAGGGAAUCUUCCACAAUGGACGAAAGUCUGAUGGAGCAACGCCGCGUGAGUGAAGAAGGGUUUCGGCUCGUAAAACUCUGUUGUUAAAGAAGAACAUAUCUGAGAGUAACUGUUCAGGUAUUGACGGUAUUUAACCAGAAAGCCACGGCUAACUACGUGCCAGCAGCCGCGGUAAUACGUAGGUGGCAAGCGUUGUCCGGAUUUAUUGGGCGUAAAGCGAGCGCAGGCGGUUUUUUAAGUCUGAUGUGAAAGCCUUCGGCUCAACCGAAGAAGUGCAUCGGAAACUGGGAAACUUGAGUGCAGAAGAGGACAGUGGAACUCCAUGUGUAGCGGUGAAAUGCGUAGAUAUAUGGAAGAACACCAGUGGCGAAGGCGGCUGUCUGGUCUGUAACUGACGCUGAGGCUCGAAAGUAUGGGUAGCAAACAGGAUUAGAUACCCUGGUAGUCCAUACCGUAAACGAUGAAUGCUAAGUGUUGGAAGGGUUUCCGCCCUUCAGUGCUGCAGCUAACGCAUUAAGCAUUCCGCCUGGGGGAGUACGGCCGCAAGGCUGAAACUCAAAGGAAUUGACGGGGGCCCGCACAAGCGGUGGAGCAUGGUGGUUUAAUUCGAAGCUACGCGAAGAACCUUACCAGGUCUUGACAUACUAUGCAAAUCUAAGAAGAUUAGACGUUCCCUUCGGGGACUUGGAUACAGGUGGGGGCAAGGGUUGUCGUCAGCUCCUGUCCUGGAAAAGUUUGGGGUUAAAUCCCCGAACCAAGCGCAACCCUUAUUAUCAUUUGCCAGCAUUAAAUUGGGCACUCUGUGAGAACUGCCGGUGACAACCCGAAGAAAGAGGGGGGGGUGAAAGUCAAAAUCACCAAGGCC